CCCCUAGAUGUUCUGGGCCGCACGCGCGCUACACUGAACAGUUCAACAAGUCUUAACCUUGGCCGAUAGGUCUGGGUAAUCUUUGAACGCUGUUCGUGAUUGGGAUAGACCUUUGCAAUUAUGGGUCUUCAACGAGGAAUUCCUAGUAAACGCAAGUCAUCAGCUUGCAUUGAUUACGUCCCUGCCCUUUAUACACACCGCCCGUCGCACCUACCGAUUGAAUGGUCCGGUGAAAUCUCGGGACGGCGGCUCGGUCGCUUGCGUCCGACUGCUGAAACUUGAUUAAACCAUAUCAUUUAGAGGAAGGUGAANUCGUAACA
rnacentral:rRNA from 1 species